rnacentral:rRNA from 1 species
UCGUCACACUAUCAUUAACUGAAUCCAUAGGUUAAUGAGGCGAACCGGGGGAACUGAAACAUCUAAGUACCCCGAGGAAAAGAAAUCAACCGAGAUUCCCCCAGUAGCGGCGAGCGAACGGGGAGGAGCCCAGAGCCUGAAUCAGCAUGUGUGUUAGUGGAAGCGUCUGGAAAGGCGCGCGAUACAGGGUGACAGCCCCGUACACAAAAGCGCAUGUGCUGUGAGCUCGAUGAGUAGGGCGGGACACGUGGUAUCCUGUCUGAAUAUGGGGGGACCAUCCUCCAAGGCUAAAUACUCCUGACUGACCGAUAGUGAACCAGUACCGUGAGGGAAAGGCGAAAAGAACCCCGGCGAGGGGAGUGAAAAAGAACCUGAAACCGUGUACGUACAAGCAGUGGGAGCACCCUUUGGGUGUGACUGCGUACCUUUUGUAUAAUGGGUCAGCGACUUAUAUUCUGUAGCAAGGUUAACCGAAUAGGGGAGCCGGAGGGAAACCGAGUCUUAAUUGGGCGUUAAGUUGCAGGGUAUAGACCCGAAACCCGGUGAUCUAGCCAUGGGCAGGUUGAAGGUUGGGUAACACUAACUGGAGGACCGAACCGACUAAUGUUGAAAAAUUAGCGGAUGACCUGUGGCUGGGGGUGAAAGGCCAAUCAAACCGGGAGAUAGCUGGUUCUCCCCGAAAGCUAUUUAGGUAGCGCCUCGUGAAUUCAUCUCCGGGGGUAGAGCACUGUUUCGGCUAGGGGGCCAUCCCGGCUUACCAACCCGAUGCAAACUGCGAAUACCGGAGAAUGUUAUCACGGGAGACACACGGCGGGUGCUAACGUCCGUCGUGAAGAGGGAAACAACCCAGACCGCCAGCUAAGGUCCCAAAGUCAUGGUUAAGUGGGAAACGAUGUGGGAAGGCCCAGACAGCCAGGAUGUUGGCUUAGAAGCAGCCAUCAUUUAAAGAAAGCGUAAUAGCUCACUGGUCGAGUCGGCCUGCGCGGAAGAUGUAACGGGGCUAAACCAUGCACCGAAGCUGCGGCAGCGACGCUUAUGCGUUGUUGGGUAGGGGAGCGUUCUGUAAGCCUGCGAAGGUGGCCUGUGAGGGUUGCUGGAGGUAUCAGAAGUGCGAAUGCUGACAUAAGUAACGAUAAAGCGGGUGAAAAGCCCGCUCGCCGGAAGACCAAGGGUUCCUGUCCAACGUUAAUCGGGGCAGGGUGAGUCGACCCCUAAGGCGAGGCCGAAAGGCGUAGUCGAUGGGAAACGGGUUAAUAUUCCCGUACUUGGUGUUACUGCGAAGGGGGGACGGAGAAGGCUAUGUUGGCCGGGCGACGGUUGUCCCGGUUUAAGCGUGUAGGCUGGUUUUCCAGGCAAAUCCGGAAAAUCAAGGCUGAGGCGUGAUGACGAGGCACUACGGUGCUGAAGCAACAAAUGCCCUGCUUCCAGGAAAAGCCUCUAAGCAUCAGGUAACAUCAAAUCGUACCCCAAACCGACACAGGUGGUCAGGUAGAGAAUACCAAGGCGCUUGAGAGAACUCGGGUGAAGGAACUAGGCAAAAUGGUGCCGUAACUUCGGGAGAAGGCACGCUGACACGUAGGUGAAGUGAUUUACUCACGGAGCUGAAGUCAGUCGAAGAUACCAGCUGGCUGCAACUGUUUAUUAAAAACACAGCACUGUGCAAACACGAAAGUGGACGUAUACGGUGUGACGCCUGCCCGGUGCCGGAAGGUUAAUUGAUGGGGUCAGCGCAAGCGAAGCUCCUGAUCGAAGCCCCGGUAAACGGCGGCCGUAACUAUAACGGUCCUAAGGUAGCGAAAUUCCUUGUCGGGUAAGUUCCGACCUGCACGAAUGGCGUAAUGAUGGCCAGGCUGUCUCCACCCGAGACUCAGUGAAAUUGAACUCGCUGUGAAGAUGCAGUGUACCCGCGGCAAGACGGAAAGACCCCGUGAACCUUUACUAUAGCUUGACACUGAACAUUGAGCCUUGAUGUGUAGGAUAGGUGGGAGGCUUUGAAGCGUGGACGCCAGUCUGC